rnacentral:lncRNA from 1 species
CUUAGCUUCCCAUCCUAGAUAUACAUUUGGGUCACUAUCCCCAUCAACACUAGGUAAUUUUAAAAAAGGUAGGGUCUUCUUUGGUUGUUGAUGAUGGCGCCUAGCUUCAAAAUUUUGCACUCUCCAAUCUUUUUCUUAUUGACUUCCGUAGUGCAUGUAAUGUAUUGUAGCUCUUAUAAGUUCCUAUCCUUUCUCUAGCUUGUCUCUCUUGAGUAUCCUCUAGCCUUUGCAUUCUUUCCACUAGUUUCCGCAUUUCUUCUUCAUUGUGGGCCUAACUCCUCUUGGUAUCUUCAAGGUCCCCCAAAAGACGUGCCUUUUGAGGAGAUAACGAUUUUGAAGACUGUCUCAAAGACAAAUGAGCCAUAAUUUGCACAAAUGAAAGAAAACCAUUAGUGAAAAACAAGAAUUAUUGCACUCACUCACGUGUAUCACUCGGCUACAUUCAAGGAAGAUUUUGAACUCCAAAGGGUCUACACUUGGUAGCAACACUUCAAGUGAAAGAGGUCAAAGCUCUUAUCACUUCCUCACACAAAGAAUCCCCAACAAAACUUUAGAGAACAAAAAAAUUUAAGAGAAGCAAGAAAGAAAGCUAAUUCAAAAAGAAAUUAAGAUGAUGACAAAACUUUUACAAGACAAACAAGAAAAGCACUUUUGAAGAAUCAAAGAAACUUACUUAAACUUUUAACUAUGAAGUUUUAAUUUUCUUAGAAUUUGUGAAAAUAAGAAGGAUAAAAUUUCACAAAUACAAUUUGCCGCACAAAAAGAAUCCUCUUUUUAGCAAUUUUGAACCUGAAAGGUGAAUUGUACUAAAUUUGUUUUUGUCUUUUUUUUUAUGGAUUCAAAAUGUCUAUAAUCUUGGCAUGCAUAUUUUUAAUUCACUUUAAAUUUUCACAAGGAGAUUGGGAUACAAUUCAUAUAAUCACUUGAAUUUUUUGUUUGAAACUAAAUCAACUACCACUUAAACAAAUUCUAAUUGCUUUUAGCUCUUCAAAAUUAAAGUUAAAAUAAGUAGAAUGGAUUUAAAGACUCAUAGAACACUAAGAACAUAAGACUCAAGCAAAAUAGGUAAGGUAAAAAAAAGACGACAAAAUAAUUCAAAAGCAUAAUUUAAAUUUCUUAAUUAAUAAAAAGUGGAAUUGUGAAUGACAAGAAUUUAAAGACUGAAUUGAAAGGUGCUGAAUUGCAAAGAAAAAUUUAAAUUGCUGGAAAAGACAUAAUUGAAAUGUGCUGGAAAAUUAAAGAAGAAAUCAAAUCAAAAGCCAUUAAGCACAAGAUAACCACGCUCUGAUACCACAUGGUGUGAGUUGAUUUUAGGAUUGCACAUUUUAUGGUUUGCACUUUGUUUAUGAGUUUUUGAUAUAAGAAGAAUAUUAUGAGAAGCCCAAAGAAAGAUUGUCACUGAAAACGAACUUAACCAAGUGGUUAAGUAAGUGUGAAGAUUUUCUUCUAGAGGGAAAGAGAAAAAACAAUUAUAUGGUGUUGAUGAUGAUGAGGUGCGGAAAUAAAACAUAUAAUGGAAAACAACAAGAUGGAAAAACCAAAAAGGAAAACAACAACACAAGAAUAUAAGAAGAAUGGAAAAGGCCCAAGGAAGGAAGAGAUGAAGAGAUAGAGGAAGCUUAUGGAUGAUGAUGGUGGUCACGCCACUUGGAGUGGUGGGAGACUACAAGAUGAGUGGUGAAGAGCCGCCACUUGAAGUGCACAAACACCCAAGAUAAAACCAAUAAAAAGAUAGCACUCAAGACUCACUCAACACUGUGACAAAGUUUCUUUACUAUUCAAAAUUCAAGGUGAAUUACAUGAGGCAAGACACCCUACUUAUAGGAGAGGAUGCCUUGGUGGGUGAUAGAAAACAACUACAUAUACCAUACUAAAACUAUGACCCAAGGUAUAUUAUGAGCUACUAAAACUAAGGCUUUCUAAAAGCUUCUCUCUUUUUCUUCCUCUUAUUUCCAAAAUAUCUCACUUAUAUAUGUGAGUUUUAGGUUAACAGAGAUUGGGCUGACCUAAUCCCGUUUACUUUUACUAACUACACUGUUCCUAUUACAUUAUGUAAUCCUUUAUCUAUGGAGGUUGUUUCUGAUAACUCUUGGGCCUGUGUGGUAUUGGGCCUAUCCUAACAUUACUAUCCGCCCCAGAAAACACUUUGUCCUCAAAGUGGAGUCUUGAGUCUAAUUGGGCCGCUAGUGCUUCUUGGGCCAUUGGCCUGUGCAUGAAGGUGGUGUUGGAUGAAGAUAAGGGGUAUGUCUUGUAAGUGGGUCGCAUAAGUGAAGGUGGGCUGGGGCUGAACAAUUUUAAAAUUAGGGUGAAAUAGAAGGAAAAUGGUUGCUUGGGAAUUAGGUUUAGGAGGAGGGCGUCACUUGGUCAUUAGGUUUAGGAGGGAAGGGCGCUGUUGUUGUUGAUUUUUUUUUAAGUGGGAGGAACAAUCUUUGGUGGUUUUAGUAUAGUAUUUUGAUGGAUUAGGAUGUCUAGCUUAUGCAGCAAACAUUAUUUAUCUAUUGCUUCUGGGGUGUUUGUUCAUCUCUUUAUUCUUGGAGAUUCUUAAUGUGGUUUGGUUUAUGUAAAAGGGUUGGGAUACCCCUUUUGUAUCCCUCUUAAUUUAAUUUCAUUCUUUGCUUAUAAAAAAAAAACUAAAAGCUUCUCUCUUUUUCUUAUUUCCAAAAUAUCUCACUUAUAUAUGUGAGUUUUAGGUUAACAAAGAUUGGACUGACCUAGUCCCAUUUAAUUUUACUAACUACAUUGUUCCUAUUACAUUAUGUAAUCCUUUAUCUAUGUAGGUUGUUUUUGUUGACUCUUAGGCUUGUAUGGUAUUGGGCCUAUCCUAACAUUACCCCAGGGCAUAGAUGCACCACUUCUCGUUUUCUACUUCUCUUGGACGACUCUUACCUAAACCCUAAACCAUAGACCUACAAACACUGAAUGCCAAAACACCAUCCAUUUUCAUUUAUCACCCCAAGCCCUCACGGGCAACACAUCUCCCAAAACUCUAUAAUUCAAUGGUCUAAUUCACUACCUACCUAUCACUGUUCUCAUAGAUUCAGGUAGCUCCCACAACAUUCUCCAGCCUCACAUUGUUCACCACCUCCACCUACCCAUUACACCAAGUGAUGUGAGUUGAUUAGUAGAUUCAUUAAUUUGUGACACUUUAAGAACAGAAUAAGGAGGCUUAAGGAAAGAUCAAUGGAGUUCAAAAGAAAUUACAAAAAGAGACAUCCAUUGAUGCUCAAAUCCCAAAGCCUUGGCCUUGCUCCUAGUAAUCUUUUGAAGCAUGAAGGAUGUUGAGCUCAUGGGUUGGGCUUGGGCCUCAAGCGCCUCCUCUACUUGAUCUUCAUCACCAAGCCCCCCCUUAUCAGUGAUAGUAGGCAAUGGUGCCUUCAUACAAUGCCAAGGCAUAUGUCCCUUAGUGGACAUCUCCCUUCAAACUUCUACAUUCACCAUUACUUUCUACUAUUACCUAUUGAAGAAGUAGAUGUAGUUUUGGGUAUUGAAUGGUUACGCACCCUCGGGCCUAUUCAGAUAGAUUUCUCUAUACCCAGCAUUGCUUUCACCCACCAGAACCAAAAAAUCACCCUACAAGAUGCCCCUCCAUCUACUACAACUUCAACCACCUACCACCAAUUAUGUCAAUACCUAUCCACCAACUCCAUUGCAUCCCUUCACCUGCUUUUAAUUGACAGCAACCCUAUUCCACCAGUGACCUUGGAUUCUGACCUACAAAACCCAUCCUCUCCAUUAUAUUCCUUUCCUUUUCUCAUUCAGUCCAUUCUCCUACAAAACAAAAACAAUCUUUCAAAAACCCCAAGGUUUACCACCACCUAGACCACAUGACCACCACACACCUCUUCUCCUUCAUACCCCAUCCAUUAAGGUUAAACCUUAUCGCUCUCCCUACUCCCAUAAGGAAAUUAUAACUCAACUCAUCUCUGAAAUGCUUCAAGAGGGUAUCAUUAAACCCAAGACAAGCCCUUUCUCUUCCCCAGUGCUCCUCAUAAAAAAAAGAUGGUACUUGGCGAUUUUGUGUUGAUUAUAGAGCCUUAAAUGCAACCACCAUUCGUGAUCGCUUCCCCAUUCUUACCAUCAAUGAAUUGCUCGAUGAACUAGGCUCAACUACAAUUUUCACUAUGAUUGAUUUAUAUUCAGGGUAUCAUCAAAUUCGACUCAUCCCUCACGACACUCACUAAUUAGCAUUUUGAACCAUUGAUGGACAUUACAAUUUUCUAGUCAUGCCUUUUGGCUUGACUAAUACACCCUCCACUUUUCAGGCAGCCAUGAAUGACCUUCUCAAAUCUUUUUUAAAACGGUUUGUCAUAGUGUUUUUUUUAUGAUAUUUUGAUUUAUAGCCCCAAUUUGAAGGAACAUAUUAUGCACUUACAGAUUAUCUUAGAAGUUUUACAUACUAAGAAAUUUUUUGCUAAGUUAUCUAAGUGAAGUUUUUCCACUUCUCAAGUCAAUUAUUUAGGUCAUAUCAUUUCGGCUAAAGGAUUAGCACCAGAUCCAGAAAAAGUCAUUGCCAUACACAAUUGGCCACAACCACGUUCAUUCACGAAAUUGUGUGGUUUCCUCGACCUCACAUGAUUUUAUAGAAAGUUUGUUUAUCACUAAGCCACUCUCAUCGCUCCUCUCACCGAUUUGUUGCAUAACCAAAAUUUACAUGGAGCAUCUCGGCUCAGGAGGCCUUUGCAGAAUUAAAAUUACAAAUAUCUCAAGUUCCUACACUACACCUACCAGAUUUCUC